rnacentral:rRNA from 1 species
UGACCUCGGAUCAGGUAGGGAUACCCGCUGAACUUAAGCAUAUCAAUAAGCGGAGGAAAAGAAACCAACAGGGAUUGCCUCAGUAACGGCGAGUGAAGCGGCAACAGCUCAAAUUUGAAAUCUGGCCCCCCCGGGGUCCGAGUUGUAAUUUGUAGAGGAUGCUUCAGGUGCGGCGCCGGUCUAAGUUCCUUGGAACAGGACAUCAUAGAGGGUGAGAAUCCCGUAUGUGACUGGUGACCCAACCUGUGUGAAGCUCCUUCGACGAGUCGAGUUGUUUGGGAAUGCAGCUCUAAAUGGGUGGUAAAUUUCAUCUAAAGCUAAAUACCGGCCAGAGACCGAUAGCGCACAAGUAGAGUGAUCGAAAGAUGAAAAGCACUUUGGAAAGAGAGUUAAAAAGUACGUGAAAUUGUUGAAAGGGAAGCGCUUGCGACCAGACUUGGUCGCAGGUGAUCAGCCGUCCUUCUGGGCGGUGCACUCACCUGUGACCAGGCCAGCAUCGGUCCAGGCGGCCGGAUAAAGGCCCCAGGAAUGUGGCUCCCUCCGGGGAGUGUUAUAGCCCGGGGUGCAAUGCGGCCAGCCCGGACCGAGGACCGCGCUCGCUA